rnacentral:tRNA from 1 species
UGGGCGAAUACUCAAGCGGUCAACGAGGACAGAUUGUAAAUCUGUUGGCUACGCCUUCGAAGGUUCGAAUCCUUCUUCGCCCAU